rnacentral:rRNA from 1 species
UACGGGGGGGGUAAGCGUUGUUCGGAAUUACUGGGCGUAAAGGGCUCGUAGGCGGCCAACUAAGUCAUACGUGAAAUCCCUCAGCUUAACUGGGGAACUGCGUGUGAUACUGGAUGGCUUGGAUUUGGGAGAGGGAUGCGGAAUUCCAGGUGUAGCGGUGAAAUGCGUAGAUAUCAGGAAGAACACCCGUGGCGAAAGCGGCUCUCUGGAACGGUACUGACGCUGAGACGCGAAAGCGUGGGGAGCGAACAGG